GACGCCGCGCCGCGCUCUCCCGGGCUGCAGAGGGUGGCGGCACCAGGCGGCGAAGGUCACCAUGCGCCCGGGCGCAGCGGCCCAGCCUUCCCUCCUCCUCCCGGGCGGCGCUUUUCCCGGCGCUUAGGAAAAUCGCGAGGUGGCGGAGGAGGAGCUGCCGAGUGACGCGACGGGAGGACACCGCGGGGAGGCUUCCCUCGGAGGCACCCUUGCCCACCUAGAGAUUCAAGCACUCCAUUAGCCACCUGGAUUUAAAAAAU